rnacentral:other from 1 species
ACGCAGGAAUCUUAGACCAACCCAACCCGUGCACCUGCAAGUUUCGCCCGGUCCUUCCGGGUCUUGAGAGACAAACAGAUGUACUGAGAUCAACUCCACGAUUGGUCUACUAGCGGGUACUAGUAACACUCACUUUGCUUCGUAGCGGAGCACAUGAGCGGUGGGACCUCCCCCAUGGUAACAUGGACCCACCGGGCCAAAAGCCACGCCUCACGGCCUCAUGUGUGUGCAACCCCAGCACGGCAACUUGUUUGUGAAACACACCUUAAGGUAACACUGAGACUGGUACUUGAUUUCUGGAGACAGGCUAAGGAUGCCCUUCAGGUACCCCGAGGUAACAAGAGACACUUCGGGAUCUGAGAAGGGGACCAGGAGUUCUAUCAAACUGCCCGGUUUAAAAAGCUUCUAUGCCUGGAUAGGUGACCGGAGGCCGGCACCUUUUCCUUUAUUUAAACUCACUU